rnacentral:tRNA from 1 species
GGAGGCGUGGCCGAGCGGCCGAAGGCCCGAGUCUUGAAAACUCGUGGGCGCGCGAGCGUCCCGUGGGUUCGAAUCCCACCGCCUCCG